rnacentral:pre_miRNA from 10 species
CCAGCUCUUGCCCAGUGGCGAAUAUAAUCUCGCUGGGGCCUCCAAAUGUUGUAUCUGAGCAAGCUAGAGAAACGCCACACUUUUAGAUGAAUUUAAGAGUCCUUUAUUAG